rnacentral:rRNA from 1 species
AAUUUUGGGGGUUCUGCCGUCCGAGUUGUAAUCUGGAGAAGCGUUUUCCGUGCCGGACCGUGUACAAGUCUCUUGGAACAGAGCGUCAUAGAGGGUGAGAAUCCCGUCUUUGACACGGACUCCCGGUGCUCUGUGUAGCGCUCUCGAAGAGUCGAGUUGUUUGGGAAUACAGCUCAAAAUGGGUGGUAAAUUCCAUAUAAAGCUAAAUAUUGGCGAGAGACCGAUAGCGAACAAGUACCGUGAGGGAAAGAUGAAAAGCACUUUGGAAAGAGAGUAAAACAGUACGUGAAAUUGUUGAAAGGGAAACGCUUGGAGUCAGUCGCGUAUUCUGGAACUCAGCCUUGCUUCUGCUCGGUGCACUUUCCAGUUCGACGGGUCAGCAUCGGCUCCGGGGGGGGACAAAGGCGCGGGGAAGGUGGCAGCUCCGGCUGUGU